rnacentral:tRNA from 1 species
CACUUUUGUACUUGCUGGAUAGACUGCUGCCACACCGGCUGGCUAGAUUGCUCUAGCCACGUUAACAAGGGCCAGUGGAAAGCUCAGUGGGUGAAAAAAACCUUGCUAUACAAGACUUGGUCGCAUUCCUAGAAUCCACAUUGAAGGAGAGAACCAACUUCCUACUGCUAUCUUAUAGUCUCCAUGCGUAAGUAUAGCACAUGUGCAAUUGUAUGCAGACUCUCUGUGUGUGUGUGUGUGUGUGUGUGUGUGUGUGUGUGUGUGUGUGUGUGUGUGUGUGUGUGUCUGUCUGUCUGUCUGUCUGUCUGUCUGUCUGUCUGUUUGUCCCCUGUAUCUCUUUGUCUGUCUCUGUCUCUCUUUAAAUUAAGUUAAAAGUCAGGAACAUAAUCUAGGCUUUGGAAUUAGGAAUGAUCAUCACUACUGAUGCAGGGUCUCACAUUUGAAAGGGAAUAGGCAUUUCCUUCUGAAAUUGUGGGAACUUCCUUAAUAUUUAACAUUCUAAGUUCACCCAAAUUUUUCCCUGAAUUUUGCCUGGGAGAUGAGUAGUAUUUUAUUUCAGUGUAUGCAGCAAAUUUUCAUUAUGCAUUCAUCUGCUGGUGGACAAUGAAGUUAAUUCCAAUCCUUAAUUACAGCAUACAAAGCAGAAGCAAGAAUAGGGGUAAACAAAUAUCUCUGUGGCAGAACAUGGGAUGCUAUAGAUUUUACAUAUACCUAGGAGGGAAAUGGGUCAUAUGGAUGAUAGGUUUUUUAAAAACUGUUUGAGAAACAUCCAAAUGGAUUUAUUUCUGCAAUGUCUGUAUGAAUUUGCACCCCACCAACAAUGGAUGAUGUUCCCUUCUCUUCAGAUCCUGUCUAAUAUUUAUGGUCAGGUUGUUUGAUGAUAGCCUUUCUAACUGUGAUGACAUGAAAUCUCAAAGCAGGUUUAAUUUAAUGAAUCCCAAAAGACUAUGGCAACUUUCCUUUAAAUUUUACAUAUUUAAAUCAAAACUUAAAUCCUUAAAAGUUAAAAUAUAUUUUACGCAUUUGUAUGGUUUUUUUUAAGAAAAUAUCUCUAUUCAGUCCACUUGCCCAUUUAUUGGUUCACAGUUAUUUCCUUGGUAUUUAAUUUCUGCAAUGCUUUGUGUAUUAGCCCUUUGUCUGUACUGUAGCUGGUAUAGAUUUUGUCCCAUUCUCUGCGUUAUCUAUUAACUCUGUUGAUUUUCUUUUCUUUACAAAACAUUUGUUUUCAUUUAUUUAGCUUUUCUUUAAAAAGUUCUUGCCUGCCCCCAAAUCUUUGAGGGUAUCCUGUAUGUUCCUUGAAAGGUUUCCAAGUUUCAGGUUUUAAAUUAAGGCCUUUGGUGAAUUUUAAUUGAUUUUUGUACAAGGUGAAAGAUACAAAUCUAAUUUCAUUCUUCUGCAGAUAGAAAUCCAGUUUUUCCACCAUCAUUUAUUGAAUAGGCCAUCUCUUUUUUAAAGCAUAUUUCCUCCUCUGUUGUCAAAAUUAAGUGGUUAUAUCUAUGGUCUUUUGUUUCCAGGUCUUCUAUUCUAUCCCAACUGAUCUAUUUUUUAUGCAAAUAGAAGACUGCAUUUAUAAGUAAUCCUGUGUACUCAUCAUUGUACCUCUUAAGUUUAUAACUUCCUUACAAAUAUAGGAUAUAUUUCAUACUUAAUCCCACCUAUUCCCACCAGUACUCUUCUUUUCUCAGAGUCCCACUCAUACAAACAGGAUAAAUAGAAUUGUUCUGGUAUAUAUUCCAUUUAAGUAGUUAAAGGUUUUUAAUUGAGGAAAAAGAAUCUAGCAUUGAAGUUUACAAAGGACCAAAGGCCCAUGGCAAUGCCUAAACUAGACAUAAUUGCUCUUUUUAUUUUCCUCUAUAUAAGUAUUUACAAUUUUUCAGAAUUUUACAUUUUCAAAUAUGAAGGUUAUCAUAAACAUUGGUAUAUGUUUUCUGACAAGAGAGAUUAAAGAGAUGCUCUCUAUAUAAUUUCAAAGAAAUAAUCAAUAUAUAAAACAGCCAUUUCUUUUAUUUUUUAUUUUUUUAAUUUUUAUUUGAAUUAGAAACAAGAUUGUUUUACAUGUCAAUCCCUGUUGCCUCUUCCUCACCUUCUCCACUACAAACCCCCAACCCACAACUAAAACCCUACCUAGCAUAAACCCCAUUCUGCUCCACAGGGAGGGUAAGGCCUUCCAUCAGAGUCUGUCAUAUUCUUUAGGAUAAGGCCUAGGCCCACCCCUGUGCGUCUUGGCUCAAGGGAGUAUCUCUCUCUGUGGAAUGGGCUCCCAAAGUCCACACCUAUGCUAGGGAUAAGUACUGAUCUACUACAGCUGGUUUUGCAGCUCUUGGUCCCCUAUAUAAAGGGCAUUUAAUGUAGCCUCUCCUCUGUUGUUUAGAUUGUUAGCUGGUGUCAUCUUUGUAGAUCUCCAGACAUUUCCCUAGUGCCUGAUUUCUCUGUAAACCUAAAAUGUCUCCCUGUAUUAUGGUAUCUUCUUUCUUAUUUUCUUCUGUUCUUCCCCCGACUCAACCUUUCUGCUCCCUCAUGUCCUCUCCACCCCUCCACUUCUCCCCUUCUCAUUCCCCUAGCUCCUGCUCCCUUCCCCCCAUGCUCCCAAAUUGCUCAGGAGAUCUUGUCCUUUCCCCUUCCCCAGGGGACCAUGUAUGUCUCUCUUAGGGUCCUCCUUGUUUACUAGCUUCUCUGGCAGUGUGGAUUGUAGGCUGCUAAUCCUUUAUUCUAUGUCUAAAAUCCACAUGUGAGUGAGUGCAUACCAUGUUUGUCUUUUUGUGAGUGGGUUACCUUGCUCAGAAUAGUUUCUUCUAGUUCCAUCCAUUUGCCUGUGAAUUUCAAGAUUCCCUUUUUUUCCUGCUGAGUAGAACUCCAUUGUGUAAAUGUACCAUAUUUUCUCUAUCCAUUCUUCAGUUGAGAGACAUCUAUGAUGCUUCCAGAUUCUGGCUAUUACAAAUAGUGCUGCUUUGAAAAUCAUUGAACAGAUGUCCUUGUUGUAUGAAUGUGUAUAUUUUGGGUAUAUGCGUAAGAGUGGAAUUGCUGGAUCUUGUGGUAGACUGAUCCCCAUUUCCUGAGGAGUAGCCAUAUUGAUUUCCAAAAUGGCUGUACAAAUUGGCACUCCUACUGGCAAUGGAGGAGUGUUCCCCAUUCUCCACAUCCUCUCCAACAUAAACUCUCAUUGGUGUUUUUUAUUUUGGCCAUUCUGACAGGAGUAAUAUGGUAUUGAUCAUCUCACUAGAUGUUGAAAACACCUUUGAAAGCCAUUUCUUUUAACUUGUUCCACAGAACCAUGUAAGUCCUCACACAUUUGCCAAGAAGUGCUCCUAUUAAACCAACACACAAAUAUUGCCUGACACUGUUUUUAAAAUGUUCACCCUUUCCAUCGUAACUUGUGCUUUAGAUUCCCUCAUGACCAAAACUAUCAUUUAAACAUCCCUCUCUAUCUCUGUUAGGAUACACAGGCACAGGGCAUCAUUCCAUACAGCAGAUGUUUUGAAUGUAGUCAGACUUUUUCUUUAGUUUUUAACAAUGACAGUGUGCAAGCAUGCACACAAAAGUAAAUUCAUGGACUCAAAAAGAACAGCAAGGGGGGAAGUGGCUUAGGAGAAGAACUACUGCAAACCAAGUGGAUCACCAUGGUAACUCUGGACUCAAUUGUCAUUCUUAGUUUUUCAUACACUUCAUAUCUUCAGGAGUGGGGCUGCCUAUAUCCCCUGCACUCACACCUCUGACAUUUCACGCCUUUUCAAGAGCAAGUUCUGAAAUAAAUAAAUAACAAAAGAAAAACAGUCUUAAUUUUAAUACGUUACCCUUAAAUUAUUUUAUAGAAUCAGAUUGGGUAUCUGAAUGUCAAAUUUGAAGGUGUUUAUUGUAGGGAGACACUGUAACCAUGCUUCCUAAGAGCUGGCUACAGGUGGGCUUAACCACGCUUGUCAGGGCGUGGUGAGGGGAGGUUCAGGAUGAUGCAUGGGGAGUUCUUAAGAUGCAGCAGAGACGUGGGAGCUCUGUCUCUGGCCUCCCUAUCUUGUUGCCUGUGGGCAAACUCUGGUUUGUGCUUGGCCAGUAUUAUUUGAAUAAAGAUAUCUUAACAUGCAGCCUCUGGGUACACCUGGUGCCCAAUGUGGGGAUCGAACCCACAACCCUGAGAUUAAGAGUCUCAUGCUCUACAGACUGAGCUAGCUGGGCCUGAUAAUACUGAAUUAACCUUGUUGUUCUUACAACGAGGAAACAAUCAGAAACAGAAGUAAUCCUCUAUACAUUACGCAUAUCAGAUCCCAUACGGGUCUGCCAGGCCCACUAGCACAAGGCAAUGACUAAUUGUUUAUUAAUUGGCACUGUGCUAGAAGCCUCAGAAUUUCAUAAAAACAUCAUGUAAAUAGCAAAGGUUUAAAAAAGGAUUUCUCCAUCACUUGGCAACAAGCCAAGGAGAUAUUGAGAAACUGUCCUACUUGUUCCUUUCAUAACCAAUCUCCACUGCCAGCAGGCUGUAAUUCUAAAGGCAUUUGGAGGAAUGAGAUCUGGCAGACGGAUAUAUUUCACUUUACAGAAUUUGGAAAUUUGAAAUAUGUGUUUCAUACUAUUGACACAUUCUCAGGUUUCCAAUGGGCUACUGCUCUCAACUCUGAAAAAGCUGAUUCUGUUAUUACACACCUGCUAGAGGUGAUGGCGGUUAUGGGCAUACCUGCACAGAUAAAAACUGACAAUGCUUCAGCAUAUGUCUCCACAAAAAAGGAACAGUUCUUCAAAUAUUAUAACAUAAAGCAUGUCACAGGUAUACCACACUGUUACGAUAAAUCUUUCCGCCAAAAGCCACCUGAACCCCACCACCACGUGUGAGCUUUAUGCCAGCUGCCCUACUGAGUUUGGUCCCAAAUAAAUACACAGAAACUUGUAUUAGGUUCAAUCCUGCUUGGCCAAUGACUAGGAUUCUCAUCUGUUAGCUCAGUCUUAACUAUCAUAAACCUAUAUAUUUUAUAAGACUUAUCUUAUCGGACACCUUUUUGGCAUCCCUACUUGCCAGUGGCUGACAUCCUGCCACUGGAGCAGGAGUGGAAGGGAAAAGAGGGCCCUUCCUGUUUCUCCUUUGCUUAAAUAUGAGUCUCCUUGCUAUGCCACUUCCUGCCUGGAUCAGCACUCCUCUAUUACAUUUCCCAGAAUCCUCUUUGACUCCUAGUCCAGUCUAACUUGCUAUCUCAUUGGCCAAACAGUAUUUUAUUUAACAAUCAAUAAGAUAAACAUACACAGUACAUUCCCCAUCACCACACAAUCCUACAGGACAAGCAGUUGUUGAGAGAUCUAAUAGGAUGCUUAAGGAGAUGCUCCAUAGGCAAGCUGUUAAGUCAAAACCCCUCAAACAUAGGUUGCAUAAUGCUCUAUUGACACUAAACUUUCUUAAUACCAAUGACAAAGGACAAACACCUUUGGAAAGACACUGAACUACGGGAAAAAAAACUGCUGAACUGAAUCAACCAGUGUACUUCAAAAAUGUACUGACCUCGGUAUGGAAGCCUGGACAUGUGUUACGUUGGGUUUUGCACUUGUUUCCACAGGAGAAGAAAAACUUUGGAUACCAUCAAAAUUGAUCAAGAUUAGAGUUGAAAAAGACAACCCUCUUGACAAGGACAACUGACUGGUAUUUACUGAGUUAUAUCUCAUAAACUAAAUAAAAGCCUCCCAAAGGAAAGGAAAAUGCUUUGUUUUUAUCUUCACAGGAAAACUGAUCUCCAGAAGUCCAAGAAUACUAUAUGAGUAGAUACUUAAGAAAACAAGGUAGCUAUAACCAUCAAACAAAAGGAACAUGCCAUAUGGUAAACUUUACAGCUGUCUCUCAAAUAACUCUGUUUCUCUUCAUUUCCUAGUUCCUAUUCAAGUAAAUAAAUGCUGGAUUUAGAGUUGGAUUUGUCUUUCCUCCCCUAAAAUCUAAACAUGUUGUUUAACUAAACUUUUCAGUUUCUGUAUUAUAUCAAGAAGCCAACUGAUGUAAUACAAAAUAAAUUAAGAAUUUGAAGACCAUCUUUUGUCUUUUCUUGGCUCUUUCUUUCAAGGCCUACACCCUCUCAUAAUUGUUGUUUUCCCAUGGUUGCCUUUCCCAGCAUACAUACAUAUGCAAGCAAACAUUUCUCUGCUAACACUUAUGUUUGAGUCCCAUACAGCCAAUGAAGACCCGCCUUACAACAAUCCCUGGACGCUGCGGAAAUGGAAUUGGGCCAUACCUCCUGGACUGCACUGGAUCCAACUUACUCCAUUUCAACUGACACUCCAGCCAGAGCUUCAAGUACUGGCUUCAGUCAAGUUGAGGAUUUCAACCUAGAUCUUCAAUCAAGCAAACCCCAUCUAACAUGGACUGGAGAUAACCCAUUAGAGACUUUCACUAUACUAACAUUUUCUUCCCACAGGACCCCACAAGGCUACCAUCAUUCCAUUUCAGCAGGAAGUAACUUGGAAGAUGCUACACCCCUUUUCCCCAUUAUUGUCUAUUAGGGUGGUGUAAGCCUAGUUAGGAAUAACUUUCCUAUUGUUUAGGGUUGGGAUUGGAAGGAGGUGUUCAGGUUGGACACCCCUUUCAGAUAACUUUAUUGCUUAGCUGGAAUAGACACAGUUAGGAAGUGCAAUAGCAGAUUAUUGUAUCUUCUUGUAUUUCACCUUUAUGAUUAUUAAUUUUGCAUGUUUUCACCAUUAAGUUUUAAUCCUCUUUUAGUCUAAAAGGGGAAUUGUAGGGAGACAACAUAACCACACUUUCUAAGAGCUGGCUACAGGUGUGCUUAACCACUCCUGCCAGGGCUUGGUCUGGAUGAUGCGUGGAGAGUUCUUAAAGUGUGGCAGGGAUGUGGGAGCUAUCUCUCUGGCCUCCCUAGCUUGCUGCCUCUGGGCUCGCUCUGGCUUGUGCUUGGCCAGUAUUAUUUAAAUAAAGAUAUCUUAACCUGCAAUCUCUCAGUACAG